GACGUAGGGUGCGAGCGUUGUCCGGAUUUAUUGGGCGUAAAGAGCUCGUAGGCGGCUCGUCGCGUCGACCGUGAAAACCCGCAGCUUAACUGCGGGCUUGCGGUUGAUACGGGCGGGCUAGAGUUCGGUAGGGGAGACUGGAAUUCCUGGUGUAGCGGUGAAAUGCGCAGAUAUCAGGAGGAACAUCAGUGGCGAAAGCGGCUUCCUGGACCAGAACUGACGAUCAGGCACGAAAGCGUGGGGAGCAAACAGG
rnacentral:rRNA from 1 species